rnacentral:lncRNA from 1 species
AUACAAAGUCUUUGUUUAUGUCGGUGAACGGAGCAAACCAUGCCCAAGAUGGAAAUAAAAUGAAAUGGAUGCAAACUUCUAAGUCUAUGCCAAAGAAACUACCUCAUCUCGAAGAAAUUAACUAUGGAAUACAGAUGUUUUAUAAGACAUUCCAGUGGAUAGGUAGAAAAUUUCACUUCUUG